ensembl:snoRNA SNORA74 Small nucleolar RNA SNORA74
CUCAGCUGUAGGCAGCUGCCUAGGUUGCCUUGUACCUAGGCAAGUGUUGCACUGCUGGGAGAAUGCAGCUAGUAGCUGGCAGGCACUCUGGAACUGAUAAU